GACGAACGCUGGCGGCGUGCUUAACACAUGCAAGUCGAACGGAAAGGCCCCUUUGGGGGUACUCGAGUGGCGAACGGGUGAGUAACACGUGAGUAACCUGCCCUUGACUUCGGGAUAACUUCAGGAAACUGGGGCUAAUACCGGAUAGGAAUCCUUGCUGCAUGGUGGGGGUUGGAAAGCUUCGGCGGUUUUGGAUGGACUCGCGGCUUAUCAGCUUGUUGGUGGGGUAGUGGCUUACCAAGGCUUUGACGGGUAGCCGGCCUGAGAGUGCGACCGGCCACAUUGGGACUGAGAUACGGCCCAGACUCCUACGGGAGGCAGCAGUGGGGAAUAUUGCACAAUGGGCGGAAGCAUGAUGCAGCAACGCCGCGUGCGGGAUGACGGCCUUCGGGUUGUAAACCGCUUUCAGCUGGGGCGAAGCUUGUGGUGACGGUACCUGCAGAAGAAGCACCGGCUAACUACGUG
rnacentral:rRNA from 1 species